UCACCGCAGUCUCUAGUGAGAGAGCUGUGGCUGCAGGGGAGUGGCUGUCUCUGGAGGUGGUACUG
rnacentral:miRNA from 1 species